AGUACUCCUACGGGGAGGCAGCAGUGGGGGAAUAUUGCACAAUGGGCGCAAGCCUGAUGCAGCCAUGCCGCGUGUAUGAAGAAGGACCUUCGGGUUGUAAAGUACUUUCAGCAGUGAGGAAGGUUCAUACGUUAAUAGCGUAUGGAUUUGACGUUAGCUGCAGAAGAAGCACCGGCUAACUCCGUGCCAGCAGCCGCGGUAAUACGGAGGGUGCGAGCGUUAAUCGGAAUUACUGGGCGUAAAGCGCAUGCAGGUGGUUUGUUAAGUCAGAUGUGAAAGACCCGGGGCUCAACCUCGGAAUAGCAUUUGAAACUGGCAGACUAGAGUACUGUAGAGGGGGGUAGGAAUUUCAGGUGUAGCGGUGAAAUGCGUAGAGAUCUGAAGGAAUACCGGUGGCGAAGGCGGCCCCCUGGACAGAUACUGACACUCAGAUGCGAAAGCGUGGGGAGCAAACAGGAUUAGAUACCCUGGUAG
rnacentral:rRNA from 1 species